UGGAGGNANNUUGGGAUGACGUCAAAUCAUCAUGCCCCUUAUGACCUGGGCUACACACGUGCUACAAUGGACAGAACAAAGGGCUCGAGACCGCAAGGUUUAGCCAAUCCCACAAAUCUGUUCUCAGUUCGGAUCGCAGUCUGCAACUCGNCUGCGUGAAGCUGGAAUCGCUAGUAAUCGCGGAUCANCAUGCCGCGGUGAAUACGUUCCCGGGCCUUGUACACACCGCCCGUCACACCACGAGAGUUUGCAACACCCGAAGUCGGUGAGGUAACCUUUAUGGNCCAGCCGCCGAAGGUGGGGCAGAUGAUUG
rnacentral:rRNA from 1 species